rnacentral:rRNA from 1 species
AAUAUUGGACAAUGGGCGCAAGCCUGAUCCAGCCAUACCGCGUGGGUGAAGAAGGCCUUCGGGUUGUAAAGCCCUUUUGUUGGGAAAGAAAUCCAGCUGGUUAAUACCCGGUUGGGAUGACGGUACCCAAAGAAUAAGCACCGGCUAACUUCGUGCCAGCAGCCGCGGUAAUACGAAGGGUGCAAGCGUUACUCGGAAUUACUGGGCGUAAAGCGUGCGUAGGUGGUCGUUUAAGUCCGUUGUGAAAGCCCUGGGCUCAACCUGGGAACUGCAGUGGAUACUGGACGACUAGAGUGUGGUAGAGGGUAGCGGAAUUCCUGGUGUAGCAGUGAAAUGCGUAGAGAUCAGGAGGAACAUCCAUGGCGAAGGCAGCUACCUGGACCAACACUGACACUGAGGCACGAAAGCGUGGGGAGCAGACAGG